AUCUACCGAGGUCUCUGUCGAGACCGGCUCUCCCUCUCUUUUUUUUUAAAGAAGGCCAUGAAAUACCAGACCAACAGAUUUUCACAUCAGCUGGGACAGUGCCAUUGAAGCCUGUGACAUGGGUUUAUCAGUAGUUGAGAAAUUGAUCAAGAAGAUGCUAUGCAGGAAAAGAAACAGUUAGAAAAAACAGGAGUUGUGGAGCUAGAAGACUUCGGUUUGAAUCUUAGCUUUGUUUCUUCCUACCUUCUCAGGCUCAAGAUGAGAAACAGGUCUGAUGUUCCAAAGCUCAAAGUUUCAAACGCUGGAAUAUACGGGUGUCCAGGGAGCAAUGGAAACAGUGGUCACAGUGCUGGUCUGGGAAUCUGAGUGCCUGAUCCCACCAGAGGACUUUGGAAAUGUAUGGUUCUGUACUUAGGAAGCGGCCAGCCUUUCUGGAGAUGGCUGUGAUUCUGGGAGAAAACAGCUGAAGAAAUAUAAUGGUUAGGUCAGGACCCACACCCAGGCCACCAGGCUGGCGAACCCCAAGGCCAAGUGUAUCCUUUGCUGGAAAAUGAAUUCUCAGGGAGGAAGCAUGUGGUUGGAUGAUGUUCCUUCUUGUCUUCCCAGCUUGUAGAAUCAACCAGAUGUUUUUCCACACAGAAUGCUAGUUCUUUAAGACACAGGCUGGGUGACAUGUUUCCUUAGAGUGACAAUAUUUCCUUAUAGUGACAUUUUCCUUGACUGGCUCCAUGCAGAAUAGGAGGAUAUAGAAUAGGAGGAGAAGGUUUCUGCUGUGGCACCUGGAGUGGUACUUGGUGCACGCCAGGUGCUAGACAAUGUGUGUGACAAGGAUGCACGUGAAAUGCCCCCCCCCGAGUGCCUCAGUGACUGCAGUAAAGUGGCCCUUGUCAUGGUCCUCUUCCUCUUUCUGCAUUCAGUCUUCAUGCUGGGCGGCAUGAAGAGAGAAACAAAAACCACCUUUCUUGCCAGGGUCUUAG
rnacentral:lncRNA from 10 species